CUCGUAGGCGGCCAACUAAGUCCGACGUGAAAUCCCCAGGCUUAACCUGGGAACUGCGUCGGAUACUGGAUGGCUUGAAUCCGGGAGAGGGAUGCGGAAUUCCAGGUGUAGCGGUGAAAUGCGUAGAUAUCUGGAGGAACACCGGUGGCGAAGGCGGCAUCCUGGACCGGCAUUGACGCUGAGGAGCGAAAGCCAGGGGAGCAAACG
rnacentral:rRNA from 1 species